GGGGCUGUAGCUCAGUUGGGAGAGCACCUGGUUUGCAACCAGGAGGUCACCGGUUCGAGCCCGGUCAGCUCCACCA
rnacentral:tRNA from 1 species